UGUAACCAUGGACAAGAGCUGGAGAACAGAGAAGCCACGGGUCACACAGCCGCAGAUGACUUCAUGUGCCACAUGCAAUGUACAGUAAUAAAGAAGGUGUCACAGCACCGAGGUGAAAGGACUAGUUCUGAUCUAGGAAGACGGCCCUGACCAUCCUAUCAGUGGGUGGAGGAAGAAAGCAACGAGAAGACGGCAGAAGGUCAUGAGACCCACAUAGGUGACAGAAGAUGAGCUCUGCAGCAACUGUUUAAAAUGGAGUGUCAUUUACUGAUGGAGAAGAUUUGUAGAGAAAUAGGUUUCUGUGGGAAAAAAAAAAACAAGAGUUUAGUUUUGGAUACAUUAAGUUUCAGAUGUUUGAGAAGCAUCCACAUGGAUUUGUCAACUCCAGUGUAUCCUGCAAGGGUCAUCUGAAAGUUGUCAGAUCUGUGUGAAGCCUCUUUCAGGAAGGUUGGCACAUGUUUCCAAGUGGAGAAAAAGCACCUGGAAGAACAGCAAUAAAAAUGGCAAAGCAUGGACUCUGUGGUGGGCCAAGGUAGAAGGAAAGAGAAGUGGGCCUGCUGAGGGAGCGCUCCGAGGAGAAGGAACCUCAGGGAGUUUCCCUGGAGAGUGGUGGAGCACCACAAGAGCUGCUCCUAGGGGAUGUACUGCUAGGUUUGUGAUUUGGGAGAUGCAGUAAAACCUAGCUUGGCUCUCAGGAGACUAACAGAAAAGGUCACUGGAAAGGGGCAGCUCAGGGCCUGAAGACUGAGGCUGGUGAGGGCUGUGAGCUGAGUUUUUGGGAGAGUUAACAGAGGUUGGGCAAAGAACAACGUGGUGGGGCUCAUACCACCUUCACAGCAGGGUCUGCAGAAAGGGAGGGUAAGAGGUCUGUCUGUCGUACAGGACAGCAAGAUAGGAGAAAGUUAGCACAUGGUGUGAGACGCUGCGGAGCUUCUUGAAACAGGUGAGAGCCAAGUGUUUGUGAGAGAUGAGGAGAAAGCCCAGAAUGGUCAUGCUGUGUUGCCCUCAGGCAUAUGCAUCUGAAAGGGGAGACCUCCAGAGAAGGAGACUUGGCAGUGAAGUCACAUGGCAGCAGAGACAGUCCAAAGAGAGACUGGCAUUUAACAACAGAGUUUGCGGAGCAUGGAACAGAAUUCUACAAGAUGACUUACCAGGAAUGACAGAGCAUAAUUAUCUGGUAUACCUACAUAUGUAUAACCAGCUCAGUAGCUGUUUACCCUCAUGAGGCUGUCUUUCCAGAGAGGGAAGCAGGAAAGCUCCUGGGCUGGUAGGUAGCCCUCAUGUGCUGUACAUUUACAAACACAUGGAAAUGAUUUGCAAGUCAAUAAUGACCAUAAAGUGUUACAUGAAGGAUUUAAAGUGAUCUCUAUAGUGAUAAGAACAAAUGUUUUAAGUCCAUCUUGAUGGUAUUAUAUAUUAAAUAAAAUGUACUCCUUUCUAACUUGAUCACUAAAAUAUUCUUUAAACCAAGACCAUUAGAAUGCCAAAUUUAAAAGGUAAAGAAAUGUCAGGUUU